rnacentral:rRNA from 1 species
UAAAAUGCUUUGUAAUUGGAAUGAUAGAAAUUUAAACACUUUUUAAAGUAUCAAUUGGAGGGCAAGUCUGGUGCCAGCAGCCGCGGUAAUUCCAGCUCCAAUAGCGUAUAUUAAAAUUGUUGCAGUUAAAAAGCUCGUAGUUGAAUUUCUGUUAAAAAUAACCGGUCUGCUUUUAUUAAAAGUGGUAUCUUGGUGUGUUUUUAGCAAUAAUGUCCUUUGAAAUGUUUUUUACUUUAUUGUAAUAAGUCAUUAUUUUGAGGAUUUUUACUUUGAGAAAAUUAGAGUGUUUCUAGCAGGCUUACGCUUUUGAAUACUGCAGCAUGGAAUAAUAAGAUAGGAUUUUAGUUCUACAUUAUUGGUUUUAAGAACUAAAUUAAUGAUUGAUAGGGAUAGUUGGGGGCAUUUGUAUUUAACUGUCAGAGGUGAAAUUCUUAGAUUUGUUAAAGACAAACUACUGCGAAAGCAUUUGCCAAAGAUGUUUUCAUUAAUCAAGAACGAAAGUUAGGGGAUCGAAGACGAUCAGAUACCGUCGAAGUCUUAACUAUAAACUAUGCCGACUAGAGAUUGGAGGUCAUCU